AUUGAACGCUGGCGGCAGGCCUAACACAUGCAAGUCGAGCGGCACGGGCGGCGGAUGGGUAAUUCCUAUGUAUCUACCUGGUAGUGGGGGAUAACUUACUGCAACAGGCGCUAAUACCUCAUAUUCUCAAUCGAGCCUACGUCGGAUGAGCUAGUUGGUGGGGUAAAGGCGUACCAAGGCGACGAUCCGUACCUGGUCUGAGAGGAUGAUCAGUCACACUGGAACUGAGACACGGUCCAGACUCCUACGGGAGGCAGCAGUGGGGAAUAUUGGACAAUGGGCGAAAGCCUGAUCCAGCCAUGCCGCGUGUGUGAAGAAGGUCUUCGGAUUGUAAAGCACUUUAAGUUGGGAGGCGUUACCGACAGAAUAAGCACCGGCUAACUUCGUGCCAGCAGCCGCGGUAAUUC
rnacentral:rRNA from 1 species